CCUACGGGCGGCAGCAGUGGGGAAUAUUGCACAAUGGGGGAAACCCUGAUGCAGCGACGCCGCGUGAGUGAAGAAGUAUUUCGGUAUGUAAAGCUCUAUCAGCAGGGAAGAAAAUGACGGUACCUGAGUAAGAAGCCCCGGCUAACGACGUGCCAGCAGCCGCGGUAAUACGUAGGGGGCAAGCGUUAUCCGGAUGUACUGGGUGUAAAGGGAGCGUAGACGGCAGCACAAGUCUGGAGUGAAAUGCCGGGGCUUAACCCCGGAACUGCUUUGGAAACGGUGCAGCUAGAGUGCAGGAGAGGUAAGUGGCAUUCCUCGUGUAGCCGUGCAAUGCGUCGAUCUUAGGAGGACCACCAGUGGCGACGGCGGCUUACUGGACUGUACCUGCCGUUGCGGCUCG
rnacentral:rRNA from 1 species